rnacentral:rRNA from 1 species
CGAACGCUGGCGGCGUGCCUAAUACAUGCAAGUUGAGCGAUGAAGAUUGGUGCUUGCACCAAUUUGAAGAGCAGCGAACGGGUGAGUAACGCGUGGGGAAUCUGCCUUUGAGCGGGGGACAACAUUUGGAAACGAAUGCUAAUACCGCAUAACAACUUUAAACAUAAGUUUUAAGUUUGAAAGAUGCAAUUGCAUCACUCAAAGAUGAUCCCGCGUUGUAUUAGCUAGUUGGUGAGGUAAAGGCUCACCAAGGCGAUGAUACAUAGCCGACCUGAGAGGGUGAUCGGCCACAUUGGGACUGAGACACGGCCCAAACUCCUACGGGAGGCAGCAGUAGGGAAUCUUCGGCAAUAGACGAAAGUCUGACCGAGCAACGCCGCGUGAGUGAAGAAGGUUUUCGGAUCGUAAAACUCUGUUGGUAGAGAAGAACGUUGGUGAGAGUGGAAAGCUCAUCAAGUGACGGUAACUACCCAGAAAGGGACGGCUAACUACGUG